AACCAGCACCUCAAGUGGUCAGGAGGAUUAUUGGGCCUAAAGCAUCCGUAGCCUGCUUUGUUAGUUUUCGGUUAAAUCUAUGUGCUCAACGCAUAGGCCGCCGAAAAUACUGCAGAGCUAGGGAGUGGGAGAGGUAGACGGUACUCGGUAGGAAGGGGUAAAAUCCUUUGAUCUAUCGAUGACCACCUGUGGCGAAGGCGGUCUACCAGAACACGUUCGACGGUGAGGGAUGAAAGCUGGGGGAGCAAACCGG
rnacentral:rRNA from 1 species